GCACGCGUGGCCUAGUGGUUAACGCCGUUGUCUGCGGUUCGAAAGGCCCCGGGUUCGAUUCCACCUGGGGGUA